CAGGCUGGCCGGAUGAUCGCGUCACCAUCUUGAGUGGUGCCGAGGAAAGUCCGCGCUGCACAGGGCAGAAUGGCGGGUAACCCCCGCCGCGGGAAACCGUGGGAUAGGGCCACAGAAACAUACCGCUUCUAAUAGGGAGCAAGGGUGAAACGGUGGUGUAAGAGACCACCGGCGGCACAGUAAUGUGCCGGCCAGGCAACCCCCAUUCGCAGCAAGGCCAAGCAGGGAUGAAGCUCUUCUCUGGAAGGGCGGGGAACGGUCCGUUCCCCCGUUUCGACGAUAAUCCCGGGUAGGCUGCUUGAGUGUAACGGUAACGUUAUGCCGAGAGAGAUGAUCAUCCAGAGGACGGCCGUCUGCAAAGAUACCCCGUCUCCGGACAGAACGCGGCUUACAGGCUGGCCUGGCAC
rnacentral:RNase_P_RNA from 1 species